CAGAGACAAUAAAACAUGACAGCAAAGACUGAGAUGAGAAGCACUGUUGUUUUAGAACAUCUUCAUUCUCAACAAUAACUCCAAGAGAAAAGUGCUCAAGUUUUUGUUGUCAGAAUGAAAACCAAACUAUAUACAGCCUGGAUUCUUGGUCCCUUUAUCACUUUAAGAAAGUCCAUGAAAAUCCUUCUCCAAGGAGGGGCCCAGGAACAGUGGAUGUUGGAAGCAAUGGUUAUUGCCCUCACUGAAGAGAUUUUUUAUAGUGCCAGCUGCAGAAAUGAAAUACCUCAAGUGGAAUCCAAGCAUCUUUGAUGAUGUGCAUCUUCAAUAUCAG